rnacentral:rRNA from 1 species
AGUGAACGCUGGCGGUAGGCCUAACACAUGCAAGUCGAACGGCAGCACAGUAAGAGCUUGCUCUUACGGGUGGCGAGUGGCGGACGGGUGAGGAAUACAUCGGAAUCUACUUUUUCGUGGGGGUUAACGUAGGGAAACUUACGCUAGUACCGCAUACGACCUUCGGGUGAAAGCAGGGGAUCUUCGGACCUUGCGCGAUUGAAUGCGCCGAUGUUGGAUUGGUUAGUUGGCGGGGUAAAGGCCCACCAAGGCGACGAUCCGUAGCUGGUCUGAGAGGAGGAUCAGCCACACUGGAACGGGAACACGGUCCAGACUCCUGCGGGAGGCAGCAGUGUGGAAUAUUGGACAAUGGGCGCAAGCCUGAUCCAGCCAUACCGCGUGGGUGAAGAAGGCCUUCGGGUUGUAAAGCCCUUUUGUUGGGAAAGAAAAGCAGCAGGUUAAUACCCCGCUGUUCUGACGGUACCCAAAGAAUAAGCACCGGCUAACUUCGUG